rnacentral:misc_RNA from 1 species
UGGCAAUAUAAUUUAAUUAAAGGUCAUUAUAAUGAUCAAUUUCAUUUAAUUUUGAUUUAUUUGGCCUAUCAUUGAUUGGACUUUUAGAUAAAAUUUAAUAACAGUAAUCAAAAUUUUAGAUAAUAAUUAAUAAAAGUAAUUAUAAGUUCUUUUAAGGAAUUUGGCUCAUUAAAUUUAAUAAUGAGUCAAGCUUGAGCUUGAUAAAUAAGUUACAUCUGAGUUGAGCUUGCAGGUUUCAUAAAUGAGCAAAAUGUGAACUGA